rnacentral:rRNA from 1 species
UACGUAGGGCGCAAGCGUUGUCCGGAAUUAUUGGGCGUAAAGAGCUCGUAGGUGGCUUGUCGCGUCUGCCGUGAAAGCCCAUGGCUUAACUGUGGGUCUGCGGUGGAUACGGGCUGGCUAGAGGUAGGUAGGGGCAAGCGGAAUUCCUGGUGUAGCGGUGAAAUGCGUAGAUAUCUGGAGGAACACCGGUGGCGAAGGCGGCAUUCUGGACCGAUAUUGACGCUGAGGAGCGAAAGCCAGGGGAGCAAACGGG